UCCCUGGUUGUCUAGUGGUUAGGACUCUGUACUCUCACUGCCAAGGGCCCAGGUUCAAUCCCUGAUCAGGGAA
rnacentral:tRNA from 1 species